rnacentral:rRNA from 1 species
UACUCCUAGCUGUAAAGGAUGGAUGCUGGGUGUGGGGGGUGUAAACUGCUACUGCGCCAAAGCCAUCGCCUUAAGCAUCCCGCAUGCCGAGUACUACUGCAAGGCUAAAACUCAAAGGGCCCGACGGGGUCCCGCACAAGCAGCAGAGCGUGUGGUAUAAUUUGAUGGUACACGAAGAACGUUACAUGGGUGCGACAUGCACUUGGUAGGGAACCGAAAGGGGACCGUCCUUGGGGAGCGUGCACAGGUUAUGCAUGUUUGUCUUCAGCUAUAAAAGGGAGGUGUCGGGUUAAGUCCCGUAACGAGCGCAACCCUUGCCGUUUGUUACAAGUGUCUAAGGGGCCUGCCCCGGACAACUGGGAGGAAGGUGGGGAUGACGUCAAGUCAGCAUGGCCUUUAUAUCCAGGGCUAUACCCACGCUCCAAUCGCUGUUACAAUAGGUUGGGAAGUCCCGAGGCGGAGCCAAUCUUCAAAGCCGGUUUCAGUUAGAACUUCAGUACGCAACUUGGAUGCAAGAAGCUGGAGAUGUUGGUAAUCGCAGGUUAGCUAUUCCGCGGGGAAUACGUUUCCGGGCCUUGUACACACCGCCCGUCUCGUCAUGGAAGCUGGCAGAGCCUGAAGCCGGUGAGAUAACCCGAAAGGGAGGCACCCGUCGAGGCUGGCCCUGGUAACUGCGUCGAAGUCCUAACAAGGUAACC